UACGGGGGAUGCAAGCGUUAUCCGGAAUUAUUGGGUUUAAAGGGUGCGUAGGCUGUGCGGUGCGUCUGUGGUUAAAGGCCUCUGCUUAACGGAGCGUAUGCCAUAGAAACGGCCGUGCUUGAGAGUGAUUGCCGUGGGAGGAAUGUGUGGUGUAGCGGUGAAAUGCAUAGAUAUCACACAGAACACCGAUUGCGAAGGCAUCUCACGAAGUCAUAUCUGACGCUGAAGCACGAAAGCGUGGGAAUCAAACAGG
rnacentral:rRNA from 1 species